UUAACAUAUGUGGGUUUAAGAAAGAGCAGCGAAAAUUUCCCAAAAACCCAAGAACAUGAAUUUUGGCAGCAUAGUUUUGUCAAAAAUUGCGCGAUUUGGCAACACUGCGUUGCAACGUAAAGCUGAUUCGCUGGUUCUGGUAGCGCCAAAGAACAAAUGCGUAGUUUACUGUGUGCUUUGGUUUUUAAAAGUUCCGAGACUUGAAUGGAUAUGGAAGCGGUUGAUGAAGAAGAACGCUUCAAAAGGCUUGCUUUCAUGAAAAGGAAGAGAACAGAAGCUGCUGCUCCAUUGCCUCAAGGCAACAGGAAAAAGAGAAAAAGGGCAGAGUCUCCUGCCUCAGUGCUCCAAG